rnacentral:tmRNA from 1 species
GGGGGCGAAAUGGGUUCGACCUGUUACUUAACUGGUUUGGACGGCAUGCCAGGUUUGGAAAUACCUGUAAAAAAAUUCCAAAACACUAAUUGCCAACGAAAAUUUGGCUCUCGCUGCUUAAUAUUUAUUAAGCAGCCGCGUUAAGGUGGAUGUUUCGGCAGGUCAGCUUUAAUGCGUAAAACCACUGUCGGACUGAUAGAAGGUAGGCCUGGGACCUUUUAUCCAGUAACUUCCAGGCUGGGUCUUUGGUCCUGCUGGCAGGAUACCAAAGAUCGAGAUACAUAUGCCAGCUAAGCAUGUAGAAGUCCGAAUGGGUUGUUUCAGGGACGCGGGUUCGAUUCCCGCCGCCUCCAA